rnacentral:rRNA from 1 species
AAAGACUUGACGGUACUUCACAACAACCUAGAGGAGCCUGUCUAACAACCGAUACCCCACGAUUAACCCAACCCACCCUAGCCUACUUAUCAGUCUAUAUACCGCCGUCGCCAGCUUACCUUGUGAAAGAAGUAAAGUAAACCAAAUAAGCCACCCCUAAAUACGACAGGUCGAGGUGUAACUAAUGGGCGGGAAAAAGAUGGGCUACAUUUUCUAAAACAGAAAACACGAACAGACUAUGAAACUAGAAACUGAAGGCGGAUUUAGCAGUAUGUCAGGAACAAAAUACCCGACCGAAA